rnacentral:rRNA from 1 species
UACGAAGGGUGCAAGCGUUACUCGGAAUUACUGGGCGUAAAGCGUGCGUAGGUGGUGAGUUAAGUCUGAUGUGAAAUCCCCGGGCUCAACCUGGGAAUGGCAUUGGAUACUGGCUCGCUAGAGUGCGGUAGAGGGUGGUGGAAUUCCCGGUGUAGCAGUGAAAUGCGUAGAGAUCGGGAGGAACAUCUGAGGCGAAGGCGGCCACCGGGACCUACACUGACACUGAGGCACGAAAGCGUGGGGAGCAAACAGG